GUGAAGAGGGAAACCCCGGAUAUUCACAUCGUUCGUGAUGAAUGGCCGGUUGUUUCUUCAUGGGGUUUAAAAUUAAAUGAAGCUGCUUAAUUUUAGGGGUUUAGUGAAGGCGGGUCAUUUUUUACCCUUAGGACAAGGGGAGUAUACGGAAUGUUAAGACUACACAAGAGUUAAGGUUAGGCAUUAGGGUUAGUGUGGUUAAGGUUAGGCAUUAGGGUUAGUGUGGUUAAGGUUAGGCAUUAGGGUUAGUGUGGUUAAGGUUAAGGUUAGGCAUUAGGGUUAGUGUGGUUAAGGUUAAGGUUAUGCAUUAGGGUUAGUGUGGUUAAGGUUAAGGUUAGGCAUUAGGGUUAGUGUGGUUAAGGUUAAGGUUAGGCAUUAGGGUUAGUGUGGUUAAGGUUAGAGUUAGGGUUAGUGUGGUUAAGGUUAAGGUUAGAGUUAGAGUUAGGGUUAGUGUGGUUAAGGUUAAGGUUAGGCAUUAGGGUUAGUGUGGUUAAGGUUAAGGUUAGGCAUUAGGGUUAGUGUGGUUAAGGUUAAGGUUAGGCAUUAGGGUUAGUGUGGUUAAGGUUAAGGUUAGGCAUUAGGGUUAGUGUGGUUAAGGUUAAGGUUAGGCAUUAGGGUUAGUGUGGUUAAGGUUAGGGUUAGUGUGGUUAAGGUUAAGGUUAAGGUUAGGCAUUAGGCUUAGUGUGGUUAAGGUUAAAGUUAAGGUUAGGCAUUAGGGUUAGUGUGGUUAGGGUUAAGGUUAAGGUUAGGCAUUAGGGUUAGUGUGGUUAAGGUUAAGGUUAGGCAUUAGGGUUAGUGUGGUUAAGGUUAAGGUUAGGCAUUAGGGUUAGUGUGGUUAAGGUUAAGGUUAGGCAUUAGGGUUAGUGUGGUUAAGGUUAAGGUUAGGCAUUAGGGUUAGUGUGGUUAAGGUUAAGGUUAAGGUUAGGCAUUAGGCUUAGUGUGGUUAAGGUUAAAGUUAAGGUUAGGCAUUAGGGUUAGUGUGGUUAGGGUUAAGGUUAAGGUUAGGCAUUAGGGUUAGUGUGGUUAAGGUUAAGGUUAGGCAUUAGGGUUAGUGUGGUUAAGGUUAAGGUUAGGCAUUAGGGUUAGUGUGGUUAAGGUUAAGGUUAAGGUUAGGCAUUAGGGUUAGUGUGGUUAAGGUUAGAUUUAGGUUUCAAAUCAGAUUUGAUGACUUUGUGGCUGUGCCAACUAGUGACCACUCUGCAGAGCUGCCUCCAGAACAACAUUCAUGUCAACAACCUCUUGCUUCCUCUGAGAUAAUAUUUACAUAGACUGAAGCGAGGUGGCGAUGUUAUGAUGGAAGACCAAAUGGAUUCCUAGAGCUGUGAUGCUGAAUGGGAAGACAGAGCCACAGAGCCACAGAGCUGUAAAAAUAAAUCUGUAAUUCUAUAAGCCUCCUUAAUUCCCCUCCCCUCUCCUUUCCUUUCCUUUCCAAUCUUCUCUUCUCCUCUCCUCUCCUGUCCUGUCCUCUCCUCUCAUUUCCUUUCCAAUCUUCUCCUCUCCUCUCCUCUCCUCUCCUCUCCUCUCCUCUCCUCUCCUCUCCUCUCCUCUCCUCUCCUCUCCUCUCCUCUCCUUUCCUUUCCUGUCCUUUCCUUUCCAAUCUUCUCCUCUCCUCUCAUCUCCUUUCCUCUCCUUUCCUUUCCUUUCCUCUCCUUUCCUUUCCAAUCUAC
rnacentral:lncRNA from 1 species